rnacentral:sRNA from 1 species
AUCGGACAGCAAAACAGCUUCGGAGGGAAGGUCUCAUGUUCGUCGAUAAUGUGGUGCUCGCAGGGGUUGUCACGGUCGGCCUGAUGGUCGCCUUCCUCGGUGGAUUCGCAUAUUUCAUCUGGCGGGACGCGCAAAAGAAAAAGCGCAGCUGAUCCCGCUCGAUAAAAGAGCACGCAAGGCAUUUGGGCGACCCUAGGUCGCCUUUUUUUUUG